rnacentral:rRNA from 1 species
GGGGGGAUCGCAAGACCUCUCGCUUUCGGAGUGGCCGAUACCGGAUUAGCUAGAUGGUGAGGUAAAAGCUCACCAUGGCGACGAUCCGUAGCUGGUCUGAGAGGACGACCAGCCACACUGGAACUGAGACACGGUCCAGACUCCUACGGGAGGCAGCAGUGGGGAAUUUUGGACAAUGGGCGAAAGCCUGAUCCAGCCAUACCGCGUGAGUGAAGAAGGCCUUCGGGUUGUAAAGCUCUUUCAGCCGGAAAGAAAUUGCUUCUAUUAAUACUAGGAGUAGAUGACGGUACCGGAAGAAGAAGCACCGGCUAACUACGUGCCAGCAGCCGCGGUAAUACGUAGGGUGCGAGCGUUAAUCGGAAUUACUGGGCGUAAAGCGUGCGCAGGCGGUUUUUUAAGCCAGAUGUGAAAUCCCCGGGCUUAACCUGGGAACUGCAUUUGGAACUGGAAGACUAGAGUAUAGCAGAGGGGGGUAGAAUUCCACGUGUAGCAGUGAAAUGCGUAGAUAUGUGGAGGAAUACCGAUGGCGAAGGCAGCCCCCUGGGUUAAUACUGACGCUCAUGCACGAAAGCGUGGGGAGCAAACAGGAUUAGAUACCCUGGUAGUCCACGCCCUAAACGAUGUCAACUAGGUGUUGGGGGAGGAGACUUCCUUAGUACCGUAGCUAACGCGUGAAGU